rnacentral:rRNA from 1 species
AAAAAAGUAAGAAAGGGCGUAUGGCGGAUGCCUAGGCUCACAGAGGCGAUGAAGGACGUGAUAAGCUGCGAUAAGCUUCGGGUAGGUGC